rnacentral:rRNA from 1 species
ACCUGCCUCAAAGAGGGGAAUAGCCUCCCGAAAGGGAGAUUAAUACCGCAUAAUAUGUUUUGAUCGCAUGAUCGAAACAUCAAAGGAUUUUUCUUUUAGAAACUUCCACUUUGAGAUGGACCCGCGGCGCAUUAGCUAGUUGGUGAGGUAACGGCUCACCAAGGCGACGAUGCGUAGCCGACCUGAGAGGGUGAUCGGCCACAUUGGAACUGAGACACGGUCCAGACUCGUGCGGGAGGCAGCAGUGGGGAAUAU